GAUGAACGCUGGCGGCGUGCCUAAUACAUGCAAGUCGAGCGAACGGACGAGAAGCUUGCUUCUCUGAUGUUAGCGGCGGACGGGUGAGUAACACUUGGAUAACCUACCUAUAAGACUGGGAUAACUUCGGGAAACCGUAGCUAAUACCGGAUAAUAUUUUGAACCUCAUGGUUCAAAAGUGAAAGACGGUCUUGCUGUCACUUAUAGAUGGAUCCGCGCUGCAUUAGAUAGUUGGUAAGGUAACGGCUUACCAAGGCAACGAUGCAUAGCCGACCUGAGAGGGUGGUCGGGCACACUGGAACUGAGGCACGGUCCAGACUCAUACGGGAAGCAGCAGUAGGGAAUCUUCCGCAAUGGGGGAAAGCCUGACGGAGCAACGCCGGGUGAGUGAUGAAGGUCUUCGGAUCGUAAAACUCUGUUAUUAGGGAAGAACAUAUGUGUAAGUAACUGUGCACAUCUUGACGGUACCUAAUCAGAAAGCCACGGCUAACUACGUG
rnacentral:rRNA from 1 species